rnacentral:rRNA from 1 species
ACGCACGCUGGCGGCGUGCUUCACCCAUGCCAGUCGAACGGAAAGGCCCUGCUUUUGUGGGGUGCUCGAGUGGCGAACGGGUGAGUAACACGUGAGUAACCUGCCCUUGACUUUGGGAUAACUUCAGGAAACUGGGGCUAAUACCGGAUAGGAGCUCCUGCUGCAUGGUGGGGUUGGAAAGUUUCGGCGGUUGGGGAUGGACUCGCGGCUUAUCAGCUUGUUGGUGGGGUAGUGGCUUACCAAGGCUUUGACGGGUAGCCGGCCUGAGAGGGUGACCGGCCACAUUGGGACUGAGAUACGGCCCAGACUCCUACGGGAGGCAGCAGUGGGGAAUAUUGCACAAUGGGCGGAAGCCUGAUGCAGCAACGCCGCGUGCGGGAUGACGGCCUUCGGGUUGUAAACCGCUUUCGCCUGUGACGAAGCGUGAGUGACGGUAAUGGGUAAAGAAGCACCGGCUAACUACGUG